CUGAUUUAUAAGGGGAGGUUAAGUAGAUUUUUUUUUUUUUUAGAAUAGUAAUCUGAUGACCUGUGUGUUGCAUAUUUGUUUACCAGUCUGAUAUUUGUCGUUUAAGUAUAUCGGGCCUUUUGCUAUAUAGAAAAGUUUCAUUUUUAAGUAGUCAUAUGUGUCGGUCUUUUCACUUAAGAUUUCUAAAUGCUGUAACAUGGUUGAAGGCCUUUCUCAUUCCCAAAUGAUACAAAUAUUAUUGUAUUUCUUUCUUUCAAACUUUUAUGGUUUUAAUUUUAUGUUCAAAUAUUUGAUUUUUCUGGAAUUUAUAUUUGUGCAAGAUGAAAAAUUGAAACCUAAAGUUUCUUUAAUUCAAAUGGAUAGUCUUUUGUCCAAAUAUCAUUUCUUAAGUAACCUUCUGUUUCCCCCAUUGUUUUGAAAUACUACCUUUACCAUUUACAGAAUUUUCAUAUAUAAAUGAAGUAACUUCUGGACUUUAAUUUCUGUUUUGUCAAUUUCUUUAUCUGCAUCUUGGUCAAUACUACAUUAUUUCAAUUACUGUAACUUUGUAAUAAUUUCGAAAUCUGGUAGGGUAAAGUUCUCCUCUUCCCAAUUAUUCUUUUUUUUUCCCAAAAAAAUUUCUUGGUUGUUUUUGCCUUAACUCUUCCAGAUAUACUUUAGAAUCAAUUUGUCAGAUAUCUUAAGUUCCUUUUGAAUUUUUUUGGUAUUAAUUGGCAUGACAGUUCUGGCUUCAAUGCUUCUCUUUCUAUUUUAACCACAGUCUCAAUUUUUCCUUUAGUGUCAAUCUGUUUCCUAACCUUAAUUUAUCUUUUUUUAGUGUUUCUUGCUUCACUGUUUUUUUUUUUUGGCAAGUUUUUUACCUUUGCUUCUAGAUAGUGUAGCAGAGAUGAUCUCAUCGUAAACAUUCAGCACCAUUAAGGUCAUUUUUAAAAAGUAGCAUCUGCGCGGCUUCUGCCGGAGCUGGUCCAGGUGUGGAGCCAGGCCCUGCCGGGGGCCCCGUGGGAGCUCCAGGAGCAAGGGGAGCAGGCCGGGCCCCGAACCGGUAAUCUCUACUUCCCCUAGCGUUUCCUUAGGUCACCCCCAGUUCCCGGCCCUGAAAUCACAAGCCUCAACUGCCCUGCUACUUCCCGGCCUGUUUUGCGUCACAAACUUGCUCCAGACCCUGAGGCAAACUGAAUCGUUGCAGGAGACUGUACCAACACACAGGUGUACCAGAGGUGACAGAACUCGAUCUGGGCGGGAAGGGGACAAAUCCGUGAAGGGUGACGCCAGGCAUUCCAGUAGUAAUUGAUAGAAAUCUUACAUGGGAUAGGAUUUAUUCCCUCCAUACUUCUGAACCAAUGAACAGAAAAUGGGAAGCAAAACUGAAGCAAAUUGAAGAACGAGCAUCUCAUUAUGAGAGGAAACCGUUGUCCUCAGUCUAUAGACCAAGAUUAUCCAAGCCAGAAGAACCACCCUCCAUUUGGAAACUAUUUCAUCGCCAAACUCAAGCUUUUAAUUUUGUUAGAAGCUGUAAAGAAGACGUUCAUGUAUUUGCCUUGGAAUGCAAAGUGGAAGAUGGACAACGUAUUUACCAUGUAACAACCUAUACUGAACUUUGGUUUUACUAUAAAUCCAGAAAAAAUCUCUUGCACUGCUAUGAAGUUAUUCCUGAAAAUGCUGUGUGCAAGCUUUACUUCGAUUUGGAAUUUAACAAACCUGCCAAUCCAGGAGCUGAUGGGAAAAAGAUGGUUGCAUUACUCAUUGAGCAUGUGUGUAAAGAGCUUCAAGAGUUAUAUAGUGUUAAUUGUUCAGCUGAAGAUGUUUUGAACUUGGAUUCCAGCACUGAUGAAAAAUUUAGCCGUCAUUUAAUAUUUCAGCUCCAUGAUGUGGCAUUUAAAGAUAACAUUCAUGUUGGUAAUUUUGUGAGAAAAAUUUUGCAACCUGCUCUUCACUUAACUGCCAACAAGGAUGACAGCAGCCUUCCAGAGACAGCAGGCCAAGGGUCUCCCCACUUUCCUGAAGCACCAAUAGAACAAGGAAUUUCCUUAACAAAAUGUCCACAGAUAAGGAUCGAGGAGAGAGCUGGACGUUGAAUUCAGAGAAACUGGGGAUGCGGGGGUCAACUGAGCAGAGCAGUGCUGAGCUUUCGUUUUUAGUUGUGAAAAACAACAUGGGAGAAAAGCAUCUUUUUGUGGAUCUAGGAGUUUAUACAAGAAAUAGAAAUUUUCGGCUCUACAAAUCAUCAAAAAUAGGAAAGUGUGUGGCUUUGGAGGCUGCUGAAGAUAACAGAUUUUUUCCUCUACAGUCAAAAUGUAUUUCUGAAGAGUAUCAGUAUUUUCUUUCUUCUCUGAUCAGCAAUGUCAGAUUCUCAGAUACUUUAACAGUUCUUACAUGUGACACACCUCAGAAUAAACAAAAGGGUGUUGAAUAUUUUAACAGUAACAACACUUCAGUAGAGACCAUGGAAGGUUUUCAGUGUUCACCCUAUCCUGAAGUUGAUCAUUUUGUUCUUUCUUUGGUGAAUAAAAAUGGCAUUAAAGGAGGAAUUCGGCGUUGGAACUACUUUUUCCCAGAAGAAUUAUUGGUUUAUGAUAUUUGUAAAUAUCGCUGGUGUGAAAACAUUGGAAGAGCCCACAAGAGUAAUAAUAUCAUGAUUCUGGUUGAUCUGAAAAAUGAAGUUUGGUAUAAAAAAUGUCAUGAUCCUGUAUGUAAAGCAGAAAACUUCAAAUCUGACUGUUUUCCACUACCUGCUGAAGUAUGUAUCCUGUUUCUUUUCAAAGAUGAAGAGGAGUUUCCAGCAGAUGAAGCAGAUGAAACUAGGAACAAUAAAACCAAGAAUCCUCAUAAACAGUCACCUAAUAAGUCAUCAACAGGUAUAUCUUCUGAUGUGGACUGGGAUAAUGGCAUUGAAGAUGCUUACUUUUUAGAAGCCACUGAAGAUGCUGAAUUAGUUGAAGCUGCAGAGAAUAGUCUUCUCAGUUACAAUGGUAUAGAUGAUGAAAUUCCUGAUGAACUAAUUAUAGAAGUAUUACAAGAGUAGCUAAUUAACUAUGGACACUUAAAUAACCAGGCUAUAAUUUGCCCAAAGUCUGUGAGAUUUGGUAACAUAUUAAAUUAUUAACUUAUUAUUAAACCUGUUUAUAUAAAAAAAAAACAAAACUAGCAUCUGAGAGCCAGACUUUUUCAGGGCCGUGUUCUUCCUUACAUGGAUCUAUGGUGUGUUCCUCUUUUGCUUGGGUCUGAGUUUGUGGCACAUUCUGUCAAUUACAUAGCUACUGUUGAGAUAAUUAUUGGAUUCUUAAACAGAUAAUAACCAUAUUUGGGGACUUUUGAUAGUAACCUCAAUCUUUAGCAAUUGAUAAGGUGUGCAUUUUAUGUUUAAAAAAAUCAGUUGCACAGUUAUAAGGUAGGGAAACUGUAUUUGGUAAUACCAGUUAGUUAUUCAGUAAUGUCUGAAACACAAAAUAAACAAAGGACCUGAUGUUUAAAUUGAUUUCAAACUCAGUGUAAGUUAUGAUUCUCCUUGAAAAAAUAACAAAUGUUGCAAUUUUUUAUAUUAAUUGCAUUACAGAUAGUUUGACAUCCAGGUUAGGAAAGAUAAUAACUCUAAUCUAUGCUGAUCAAAUAAUUUUUACAGUUUGUGCACCUGUUUUGUGCUAAGGACAAACUAGGUACUAGGAUACAAAGCUGAGAGACAUAGCCCACUUAUAAUAGAACUACAAGCAAAUAAUAACUGAGUUUAUGGGAAGCCAGAUGAGGGUUAUCAAGGACCUAGACCACAGAGGCUGGAGACAGCUUUUAAGGAGAAGAGGACACACACAGCAGAAACUUUGGUGGUAGAUCUGUGGGCUUCACUAGCUAUGGGACCUUGCACAAUUUAUUUAAGCUCAGUCUCAUUUUUCUUCAUGUGUAAAAUUGAGUUAGUAAUAAUCUAUUUCACACUGUUGUCCUAAGCUUAAUGAGAUUUUAUAUAUAUAUAUAUAUAUAUACAUACAUACAUAUCUGGAACAGACUCUGGCACAUAAUAAUCAUGUAGAAAAUGGUAUGGAAUACAUCCACUUUGAAAUGCUAAUAGUUGUUGGCUCAGCGAGAUGGGCCCUCCUAGCAGAAGGAAAGGUGUAGGCCAAAGCGGGUGGGUGCAAUGGGGGCUUUCUGAAAGUGCAGAGUGUUUAAUCUGCUUGGAGUGCAGAGUGCAUGUGGAGGGAGCAGCUGAAGAUGAAGCUGGGAAGGGAAGCAGUGGUGAGAUCUUCAAACCAGAGCCUUUGUACCAGAUUGAGGAGUCUGGGAGGCAUCUAGGAAGUAUUAUGGAGUCUUCGAAGAUCUUAAUUAGGGGAGUGUCCAGAACAGUUUUGUCAGUUGAAAGACUGGUUUGUUAUAGAUGUGUGGAGUGGCUGAGUAAGCUAUUGUAGGUAGGAUGUCCAGUGAAAGCAGUGGUGCUCGGCCCUGGCUGCACCUUGGAACUGUCUGGAAAACUUUUAGCCCAAGUUCACCACAAAUCCAGAUAUAUCAUCAGCUUUAGGGGUGGAACUUAGGCAUUGGUAUUAUUACUUGCCAGGUGAUUCCAUUGCAGUCAGUAUUGUGAACCACUGAGUUAGAGGGUAACUAACUGUAUUCAAACCAGAUAUGAUAAAGUUCUAAAUUAAAGUGCCAGCGGCACAAAGGAACCAGGAUAAGAAGAUAACAAGGAGGAUAUGGUGGUCAGUUGAAUGAGAAAGGAGAUUAAGUGAAGAUUAUUUCUAGAUUGGGUCACUGGGUAGAUGAUAAUAACAUACCAAGGCUCAGUUAUUUAUCAAGAGUGAGAACAUGAAGGCAAAGCAGAUUUGGGUACUAGAUGCUUCUGAGUGGGCAUAAAAAGGAUAAAGAAUUUGAUUUUUAAAUGUGCAAUUUGAGAAAGAAUGAUCUAUAAUGCCAAAUGGACAGAGAGAAACUGAAGGGAAGGAACCAAUGGAAUAGUUGAAAAUUCAGGAGACAAUAAAUAAUUGAUGGGUGAGAUUCCUAAGGAGACAGACAAU